rnacentral:misc_RNA from 1 species
GAAAUGCGAUAAGUAGUGUGAAUUGCAGAAUUCAGUGAAUCAUCGAAUCUUUGAACGCACAUUGCGCCCUUUGGUAUUCCUUAGGGCAUGCCUGUUCGAGCGUCAUCUAAACCUUCAAGCCCUGCUUGGUGUUGGGUGCCUGUCCCGCCUCCGCGCGCGGACUCACCUCAAAUCCAUUGGCGGCCCCCGCGUCGGCCACGAGCGCAGCAGAAACGCGAACUCGUGAGCCCGUCCGGGCGGCUCCCAGAAGCUACACCCACCCAGUUUGACCUCGGAUCAUGUAGUGAUACCCGCUGAACUUAAGC